rnacentral:pre_miRNA from 1 species
GCCUAAUGAUAAUGAUGAUGAUGAUGAUGAUGAUGAUGAUCAUCAUCAUCAUCAUCAUCAUCACCAUUUAAC